AAGCAACUUACUUUACUUGGGGCUGAACCUAAGAAUGUUUCAAAUGAUGGCUUGUCGGAAGAACCGCUAGCUAGUGUGACACCUAUGCAUAAGAUCCGAUCACAGCUGGAUGAUGCUGUAGCUAGUGAUUGCCCAUUUUGUGGCGACCUUAUGAUCCGAGAGAUUUCCAUGCCGUUCAUCUUGCCAGAAGAAGCAGAAGAAUCUGAAUCCUGGGAGAUAAAGCCACAUAAUUAUCCUAGUCAGAGAAGCCUUUCUUUGGCUGUGUGAUUUUGUCAUCUGUUAGUGCAGGUCUCUCCCUGCAAUUAUUUAUUUGAUGUUUCCCCAGAAAAGGUUUAAAAAAAACAAACAUGUUUGAGGUGUCAAAAACAACUGCUUGUUUGCUGUGUGCUAAUUUAUCAGGUUUGGUUGUAAUUAUUGCAACCUGAAGCUAAUGCAAGCAACAGAGGCUAUGUUGUUUGUAGGGGCAAGAAAUUGCUCGAUGAUAUUUCACGAAUCAUUGUGCACCAAGCAUCAUCUUGGAAAAGAAGUGCUUAUUUUUAUUUUCUUUUGCGUACUAUAUCCAUUGUAUCAUCUUCUGAUAACCUAUGUUCCUCCAAUUGUUGUAUUAUUUAUGAAAUAUAAACUUGUCU
rnacentral:misc_RNA from 1 species